rnacentral:rRNA from 1 species
UACGUAGGGUGCGAGCGUUAAUCGGAAUUACUGGGCGUAAAGCGUGCGCAGGCUGCUUUGUAAGUCAGAUGUGAAAUCCCCGAGCUCAACUUGGGAACUGCGUUUGAAACUACAAGACUAGAAUAUGUCAGAGGGGGGUAGAAUUCCACGUGUAGCAGUGAAAUGCGUAGAGAUGUGGAGGAAUACCAAUGGCGAAGGCAGCCCCCUGGGAUAAUAUUGACGCUCAUGCACGAAAGCGUGGGGAGCAAACAGG